GUAACUCCUCAAAUUCUGUGGGAUUGGAUUGGGGUGAGUUCCAUGACACUCAGUAAAGAAAUCAAUAUUUAAACCAUGCUAUCAAAGUUUCAAGAGUUGCAUUUUAAUGUUAAAAGUAAGCAAUCUCAUACCACUUUAAAUAAAUUAACCUUACUUUCAGAGAUCGUCAGAUAUCACCAAUGUUGGGAAUUUCAAAAAAUCCUUUUUAAUUUAGUUACGAAGAUCAUUUAAAAUACAUAUCCAAAC
rnacentral:lncRNA from 1 species